GAACUUGUAAUGGCAGUGAUGAUAUCGGAGAAAACUUAAGGACGGUUUUUGAGGACUGAAAUCGGGACGAUGAACUUAUUCCAUAAAAGCUGGUGCUUCAUUUGAGCUUAAACGAUAAACACUGAUGAACAUUGAUAUUGCUGGUGAUAGGUGAAGACCAGAGGAGACAUUUUACGACUUUUUAGAUUUUUUUUUGCUUUCAAGCCUUGAUUUUGGUUCGAUUUCUUGUUUAAAUGAUAACAGCCUCGAGUGAAAGGGAGAUAUGUGAACACUACUGGGGUUAUCUAUUGAUUUCAAAAGUAUAACGUAUUUAUGAGUAAUUUUGAUAGAGUGUCAGGAAUUGACACUAUGGACUCUAAUUUAAUCUCGUGCAGCAUUGUUAACCCAUCCAUUGCGAGUGAUCUUAAAUCAGGGCUUCAACACGAUUUGGAUCAACAAGACCAUGCCGCACUGUUGAUAGACCAGCAACAUAGGAUGGAUAAAGAGAGGCAAAAAAGGAAGGAAAAAAGAAAGAAAAGGAAAAAUUAUGAUUAUUAUUGAUGAUUGAUGAUACAGAAUUUAUUAAUAUUGGAUUCGAAUCAAAAAAUGGCUACAUAAUUUAAUAGUUAGCUAUCAUGAUCUGUUCUGGUUAUUGUUUUAGAUAUAAUCACAAUAAUCAUCAUCGAUAUCAACACUUCUACUCAAUAUGGAUACUGAACAAUGUGAUGAAAAAAAAUCCGGAUGAUGAUUAUUUGAUGACGAUAAAGAUUAUUUUAAUUGGUCAAUCCGUGAUGAGAAUUAAAUACAUUUUACAUUGAACAUACAUCACUACUAUCUCCUGAAUGGCCUAAAUCUAUUACUCUAUGAGUUAACUUUUUUUUAUAUUAGAAUUACUAUGAUCAUUAUGAUCAUUAUGAUUAUUGUGAUUAUGAUAAUUAUAAUGUAUCAUUACAUUAUUAGUAUAAUUAUUAGUGAGUAAUCUUUGUUAGCUAGGAAAUGUACAAAAUUAAAGAUAAUAAAAUUGUAAAGAAUGUACUGGUGAAAAAUGGGUGCUGCU